rnacentral:rRNA from 1 species
UACGUAGGGGGCUAGCGUUGUCCGGAAUCAUUGGGCGUAAAGCGCGUGUAGGCGGCCCGGUAAGUCCGCUGUGAAAGUCGGGGGCUCAACCCUCGGAAGCCGGUGGAUACUGUCGGGCUCGAGUACGGAAGAGGCGAGUGGAAUUCCUGGUGUAGCGGUGAAAUGCGCAGAUAUCAGGAGGAACACCAAUUGCGAAGGCAGCUCGCUGGGACGUCACUGACGCUGAGACGCGAAAGCGUGGGGAGCAAACGGG